CUGCUCUUCUAAAGGGAGUAUUUUUCCUCUCUUUAGAAGGUUGUUACAAAGCUUACUUUGUGUUUAAAUGUACUUAACUAAUGUUGAGUGCUGUAUUGUAUAGGCUUUAAAUGGCUUCAAGUAGGAUAAUAGCACUAAGUGUAUAUUGCCCAAUAAUUGCAUUUACCAGAUUGCUGUGUAAUUAUCAUGCUCUGACUGACAGAAAGGACAAGUGUAGCUCCUAGAAAGACUGAUUAUUUUGCUGCUCUGUAAUUAUGAUGUUGUUAAUAGGGAAGAGUAAUUACAGAUCACUUGUGCUAUCCUGUGAAGUGCAGGCUUCAUACAUUCUCAGCUGAGUUCUGAGUGUAAAGAGUAUUUCACAGCUGGCAUGGUCUUUGCUUAAAUUUGCUUAAUGUAAGUGAGGUGGAGAUACAAAGAACAACAAUACACACACCUGAAUUCUUCAGGAAAUUUUAAAGGGAAAGUGUUAGUGUGUUCCAGGAAUUGUCUUAUGCCAGUACUUUGUCAUAAUGAAGAUGCACAGAAGUGGAGAGGAUAUGACCAAGUUUUCUCACAUGGGAGUUAAUGGAAGUAGUUUCCCCAAGCUGACAUUCAUGGUAAGUGGGGGAAAGAAAAUAACAAGAAUUGUAUGUUUUUUCUGCUUUUUUUCUUAAACGUCAGUUGUAUCUAAAGCUUUACCUGGUCUUCAGCUUAUUGUUUUCUACUUCCUUCUAAUUGGGCCAUAGAAGGGCAUACUGAACCACCUAAGUGUAGCAUAUAAAAUUCACUAUUAUAUGUUCAUUUAUUCUAGCUGCUGUUUAGAAAUGCACAAAAAAAAUUGUGUUUUACUUUUCCACUUCUCACUCUGAAUCUUUUAGCACUCUGAUACUUCACUUAAACCUGAAAGGAGCUUAGUGAUGAACUGAUUUGUGCCUAAGGAAGCAAACAGAAAAGCAUUGUUAGAUCCAUGUACAGGGAAAUGGAGAGAGGAAGGAAAAAAAACACCACUGAAGUAUGUCGAGUGUAGCUUAAGCACACAGAGCAGGAGUGGGCAGUGAAAGAAUCCUGUUUUCAAGCUGCUAACAGGUAGGUGAGCAAUGGAAAUCAGUCUAAACCAGUAAAGCGUAGUUGGGUAUUCCUUCAAACUGCACGUUUUUAAGAGGAGGAGGUAAACAGUGCAAAUCAAAAUGCUUUCACUUGAAACAAGGUAAGGUCUAAUUUCACUGUGUCCCAGGAGGAAAGAUGAAGUUGUGCCUGUGACUUACAGACAAGAAGGCUAAUGUAUUAGUUUUGUAAUUAAGUCCUGUAAAUUGUGCAUAACAGAGCAAUGAACUACUUUAGCCAGGCUUUGGAGGGGGAAGAAGAAAAACCUAUGCGCGCUGGGAAUGAGGGCAUGGAACAUAUUCCCUAACUCAAACCUGAAAAACCUGGUGUUAGUCUUGGGUUAUUUCCAGUGACCCCUUGACUCCCAUCUUCCUGCCCCCUGCACAGAUUUGGAACUGGUCAGCCAGUUCUGUUUUUGGAAGGGAGAGGAGACAGAUAUAAUGAAUGGCUUUUAUUGUGCAAUAUUUCAAAACCUUUUUGACUGCAUUCGGAUGGGAUGGAAAAUGUUCUACCCUGCACUGCAGCCAAAAUAAAUAAAACAUAUUCCCUAAACCUGGAUGUGUGUUUCACUCAAACUGGCAGUAGUUAGAGCUCUACUCUGAAACAAGAAUUCAGUUUGACAAUUUUUAGGCCUUGUUCAGCUGAAUGUAACAGCCAAAGAAAAUACUUGGAAAAAAUUAAAUAAUACACAUAUUUACAGCUUGCAGGUGGCAUUAAUUUUUUUGUGGCUCAUAGUAUUUAGUUUUAGGAAUCCCUCUUAGUUGGGCUAGAUUGGAGAGUUCAAAAAAUACAUAUUGUCUCUUUUUUAAAUUAGUUUUUUCUUUAAUGAGAAUAGUCUCUCUGAAGGAAAAUACAUUUUAUGGAGCUCCCUGAUGGGUGAUAAAUAGUUGUGAUUCAAGGCUUUAAAAGUUUAGGGUCUACCAAGAAACUGAAAAAUGUACAAACACAAGACCCAGCAAACCAGCAGUAAAACCUCCUGACAGGAGCCUGCUAUGCACUGGCUUCCAGCUCCACUAAAGCUUAGUUUAAAUACCCUGUUAUGGUGCAGGCUUACUGCUGGUUUUAGCAUUGCCAAGCAGUUGAGUGAAGUCCUUGCACUGUGUUACUGGGAUACUUCACGUUGUGAAACAUGUUUUAUAGCCCGAAGAGCCAUAUUAAUAAUAACAAUUUUUAAUUUAGGCUGUGAAGGAGUAAAGCUAAAUGAUCAGAAGAGCCACCAUGCCCAGACAGCCUCCACCCUGCAACCAAAGCUGUUAUUUCUCACAAUCCUAACUUGCAAGCAAAAAUCCCUUUGAACAAAUAAUAUGCAAAACUCUUAAUGAUUUUAAGUACAUAAAUGAGCCUCAUUUUUUACAUCAUUGUGAUCAAAUCAUUAAAGAUUACAAACAGGGUCUCAAAGUCCAAAGAGAAGUUGCAGGAGUGGGUAGACAUCAUUCCUUCAAAGCCCUAAUGAUGUAGUGAAUAAACAAGGUAGGAAUCAGAAAACUGGGCUUUUUGUCCCCUCUAUGAUCUGGGUUGGGUUUUGUUCUGUUCUUGAAUUAAAUUACUCAGUUUCCUUGCUCUUUGUCUUCUAUUUAUUUGCCAGCACUUGUAACAUCAGGGUGAAAAAUACGGAUCUAAUAUCACCAUCCAUUAAAUCAACUGAGUUAUACUGAAGACACUUUUGAAGCCCUGUUUCACUCUGUCAUAAAUAACCUGCCUGUGUCACACAAAUGUUUGGACAAACAAAUGCACUUAGCUCCAUGUUCAGAAGCAGGUGGAACAAGUCUGCCUGCCUGAGUGAAGUGUAUGCUCCUGUCUUCCCCUCCACACAGCCUCUUCUUAAUCGUUAGGGUUAUUUCUCCUUUUAGCUGGCAGGACUUCAGUGCAUCUCUCCAGAGAACCUGGAGCUUGCUGCUGUCUGCAUGAUGGUUUCACCCUGCUGCUGUCUGAUGAAUAUCCAGCUACAGAGGACUGGGCAGUUUAUGCGUGGAACAAGCCAAAAACCCAUCUCUACACUUGGCCUUUUUGAGCAUUAGUGUAACACCAUAGCAAUGUAACACAGCCAUCAGCAUCUGCAAGCUGAUACAGUGGCUGUAUUGAAGGCUACUGAAGAUUCCUCUGCUGUGCUCUGUGACUUUGGAAGGCAGCACGGCCAGGGGUGAUGUUCCUAGAUUUUUACAUUGCUACUCCUUGCACAAUGCAAGAAGCUGUAGAGCCCUCAGCAUCCCUAGAUACGCCUCAAGGUAAUUUUGCAAAUGCUUGGGUAUAAACAGGUUAACAUAGAACUGUGGAGUAUAACCUUCUCCUUUAUCAUUGCUCUUAUGUGUGAUGAUAAUAGGCAGUUCAGAGCUGGUAAAAGACGUAUGCAUGUUGAUACAGGACCAGGGAGUUCUAAAAUUGUUUUCACAUUUAUAUGUAAAGCAAUUACUGAUAUAUAGAUACU